AACGCACCUUGCGCUCCUUGGUAUUCCGAGGAGCAUGCCUGUUUGAGCGUCACGUGAACAUCUCACCUGUGCCGUUGUGAAACGGUUGCAGGCUGGGGACUUGGACUGUGCCGUGCCCGGCUCGUCCUGAAAUGCAUUAGCUCGGUUCGAAGCGACCGUCUCGGUGUGAUUAGACAUCUACGCCUUGACCAAGCUUUUGCGGGCUCACAGCGACCCAUCGCAUCAUUAAUGCUCUGACCUCAAAUCAGGUAGGACUACCCGCUGAACUUAA
rnacentral:misc_RNA from 1 species